GACGAACGCUGGCGGCGUGCCUAACACAUGCAAGUCGAACGGAACUGUUUUGAAAGAUUUCUUCGGAAUGAAUUUGAUUUAGUUUAGUGGCGGUCGGGUGAGUAACGCGUGAGUAACCUGCCUUCAAGAGGGGAAUAACAUUCUGAAAAGAAUGCUAAUACCGCAUGACAUAUCGGAACCACAUGGUUUUGAUAUCAAAGAUUUUAUCGCUUGAAGAUGGACUCGCGUCCGAUUAGUUAGUUGGUGAGGUAACGGCUCACCAAGACCGCGAUCGGUAGCCGGACUGAGAGGUUGAACGGCCACAUUGGGACUGAGACACGGCCCAGACUCCUACGGGAGGCAGCAGUGGGGGAUAUUGCGCAAUGGGGGCAACCCUGACGCAGCAACGCCGCGUGAAGGAUGAAGGUUUUCGGAUUGUAAACUUCUUUUAUUAAGGACGAAAAAUGACGGUACUUAAUGAAUAAGCUCCGGCUAACUACGUG
rnacentral:rRNA from 1 species